CCAGACUCCUAUGGGAGGCAGCAGUGGGGAAUAUUGGACAAUGGACCGAGAGUCUGAUCCAGCAAUUCUGUGUGCACGAUGAAGUUUUUCGGAAUGUAAAGUGCUUUCAGUUGGGAAGAAAUAAAUGACGGUACCAACAGAAGAAGUGACGGCUAAAUACGUGCCAGCAGCCGCGGUAAUACGUAUGUCACGAGCGUUAUCCGGAUUUAUUGGGCGUAAAGCGCGUCUAGGUGGUUAUGUAAGUCUGAUGUGAAAAUGCAGGGCUCAACUCUGUAUUGCGUUGGAAACUGUAUAACUAGAGUACUGGAGAGGUAAGCGGAACUACAAGUGUAGAGGUGAAAUUCGUAGAUAUUUGUAGGAAUGCCGAUGGGGAAGCCAGCUUACUGGACAGAUACUGACGCUAAAGCGCGAAAGCGUGGGUAGCAAACAGGAUUAGAUACCCUGGUAGUCCACGCUGUAAACGAUGAUUACUAGGUGUUGGGGGUCGAACCUCAGCGCCCAAGCAAACGCGAUAAGUAAUCCGCCUGGGGAGUACGUACGCAAGUAUGAAACUCAAAGGAAUUGACGGGGGCCCGCACAAG
rnacentral:rRNA from 1 species